UGCAUCGGCCGGGAAUCGAACCCGUGAGGCAGGCGAGCAUUCUACCACUGAACCACCGAUGC
rnacentral:tRNA from 1 species